UUUAUUUUAUUUUUGGUAGAGUUUAGAGUCCUAUUUAAUUGAUUUAUGUGAUUAUGUGAUUUGUUUAUUUAAUUAAAUGGUUUUAUUAAUAGUUAGUAAGAAUAAGAUAGGAAUUAGAAUAUUUUAGAAUUAAGGGGGCAGAUGUGUAAUUAAGAGGAAACAAAAGAAAUUAGUGGGAAUUAAUCAAAAUUAAUUAGAAUGAAGGAGGUUAAGAAAAGGAUAGUCAGUGAAAAGAAAAAUCAUUUUCACGUGAAAACAAAUAAGUUUGAGAAAAAAAAAGGGAAAAACCAAGAGCAAGAGAGAAGGGGCAAGAGAAGCUAGGACCUUUGUAAUUCAAUCAAACCAGAUUUCCAGGACUAGCUGUUGAUGUGAGUGGACUCCUCACGUGUCUAGGUGCUCUGAUACGUAACGGGGCGGGCUUUGAUUAUUGGAUUUUCCUUGUUACGUAUUAGUUUUAUGAUUUUAUGUUGAAAAACAAUUAUGUUGAUUUUACUUACUACUAUGAAUCAAGUUGAGACCUUAGUGCAAAACUUUGAUGGAACAAUUGUUGAAUAAAUAUUGUUAUAUUUCCGCCGCGAUUUCAGUGAAUAUCGUUGACAGGAUUGUUUUAAAUAAAUAAAAAUUUUCCUAUUUAUUACUUGAAUAAAA